AUUUUUAAUUAUACAAUUUCAUGUCAAAUAGAUACUGGUGCUGAUGUUAAUGUAAUUUCAGAACAUACCUUGUCACUUAUUCAAAAAAGUAGAAAUGUCAAAAUUCCCAUAUGGAAAACAAAUAAUAGAAUAUUUACAUUCUCAGGUCAAUUAAUUGAAAAUAUUGGCAGUGUAAAAUUAAAUUGUAAUUUGGAGACUAAUUCUAAUGCAAACAUCUAUUUUAUUGUAGUAAAACAUCCAUGUAAAACAAUACUAGGUUGGAGAACCUCAGAGAAACUUGGAAUUGUGAAACGACUGUUUCAACUUACUAAAAAUGCUAUGCAUGAUGACUAUACUAACUUCAUUGAGCAUGAAACUACUAACAAUACAGUCAAGGUCAACACUGGAGAAUGUCAAUAAAGGAUUUACCUGGAGUAAUAAUUUUUGUUGAUGACAUAUUAGUAUUUGGCUCAACACAACAAGAACAUGAUAAAAACUUGGAGAAAGUCUUCACCAAGGCAAAAGAGUCCUGACAGGUCAAAGGUCGAGGCAAUAACUCAAAUGGAGAGACCAAAAGAUGUCAAAGAACUACAAAGAUUUCUUGGAAUGAUGUCCCGGCAAGACUACAAAGAAUGAUGAUAGCAAUUCAAUCAUACGAUUUAAUAGUUUCUUAUGUAAAGGGCACAGAGAUGUAUGUUUCAGACACACUAUCACGUGCACCCAUAAAA
rnacentral:lncRNA from 1 species